rnacentral:rRNA from 1 species
UACAGGGGGGGCAAGCGUUGUUCGGAAUUACUGGGCGUAAAGGGCUCGUAGGCGGCCAACUAAGUCCGACGUGAAAUCCCAAGGCUUAACCUUGGAACUGCGUCCGAUAUUGGAUGGCUUGAAUCCGGGAGAGGGAUGCAGAAUUCCAGGUGUAGCGGUGAAAUGCGUAGAUAUCUGGAGGAAUACCGGUGGCGAAGGCGGCAUCCUGGACCGGCAUUGACGCUGAGGAGCGAAAGCCAGGGGAGCAAACGGG